GAUCUGGCUCAGGACGAACGCUGGCGGCGUGCCUAAUACAUGCAAGUUGAACGCUUGAUUUUCACCGAAGCUUGCUUCGCCGAAAAUCAAGAGUAGCGAACGGGUGAGUAACGCGUGGGUAACCUACCUUUCAGCGGGGGAUAACUAUUGGAAACGAUAGCUAAUACCGCAUAACAAUGUUGAAUGCAUAUUCGACAUUUGAAAGUACCAACUGGUACACUGAGAGAUGGACCCGCGUUGUAUUAG
rnacentral:rRNA from 1 species